rnacentral:rRNA from 1 species
AUUGAACGCUGGCGGCAUGCUUUACACAUGCAAGUCGAACGGUAACAGGCCGCAAGGUGCUGACGAGUGGCGCACGGGUGAGUAAUGCAUCGGAACGUGCCCAGUCGUGGGGGAUAACUCCUCUAAAGAGUAGCUAAUACCGCAUACGAUCUAUGGAUGAAAGCGGGGGACCGUAAGGCCUCGCGCGAUUGGAGCGGCCGAUGUCAGAUUAGGUAGUUGGUGGGGUAAAGGCUCACCAAGCCAACGAUCUGUAGCUGGUCUGAGAGGACGACCAGCCACACUGGGACUGAGACACGGCCCAGACUCCUACGGGAGGCAGCAGUGGGGAAUUUUGGACAAUGGGCGCAAGCCUGAUCCAGCAAUGCCGCGUGCAGGAAGAAGGCCUUCGGGUUGUAAACUGCUUUUGUACGGAACGAAACGGCUCUGGUUAAUACCCGGGGCUAAUGACGGUACCGUAAGAAUAAGCACCGGCUAACUACGUG